CUUCUGAGCGCGGCGGGGGCGGCGCGGCGGGGCCCGCCUCGCCUUGUUUCCGCCCGGACAUCGGCGGCGUAGACACCGGCAGGAAGCGGAGCUCAGGCCGAGCCCGACGCUGUCUCCAUGGCGACGCUGGCGCUGCGCGGCGGGCUCAAAAAUGUUUCUCUUUCUAUGCAAAAGCAGUUCUUGAAAAUACUGAAGGGAAGGAAAGCUCUAGACAACUUCUAUUUGCCCAUAACAUGUCUGCAAUCAGCAAUGGUAUCAAGAAGGUCAAGGCUUGAAGAUUGUUCUACACAUCAAACAAAAUAAGUUCAGAGCUGUGAUGGAGUAUCAGACAUAUAGAGAGCUACAAAUCAAGCAGUACAGACAAUUUCUUAUUAUCACCAUUGAAGAGAAACAGACCUGAAAGUGUUCCCACAGGUCAACUAAGCUGCUGGAGGAGUGCACUGAAAAGCUGAACCUGAACAUGGCUGCACAAUGAGUGUGCCUUGGCAGGCGACACUGAAGCGCUAGAACCUAAAGAUGUACCACAUGAUGCUGACAUUUAUAUUUCAGUGGAAGAGACCUUUAUAG